GCCUGCCCUGCGGGGAGCUGGGGGGCAGAAGUCGCGAGCAGGGGUCUUGUCCUGUCGGCCACUUGUAGCGGGAGUGGCGCGGGCCUGCGCCUCCAGAGGGCCGCGGCAGCGCGGCAGGGGCGGCUCCCGGCCCGCACGGUCUGGGUGGGCUCCCUCUCCCCCUGCGGGGGUUCGAGCGCCCCCACCCCCGCUGUGGGCUGAGGGCCAGGAGCGGCCGGCCGAGCACGAAGGGAGGGAGUUCGCGGGCGCAGUGGGGCUGAAGAAGGCUACGGAUCCAGUGGGGGCAGAGGCUAGUGCCCGAGUGGGGGUCUCGGGAGGAGGGGUAGAGGCCAAAACAAAGGAGAUGGGCGAGGAGGGGGAAGUUGCAAGUUGACCCUAGGCGAGGUUGUUGGGGCCCAGGAAGAUGAGAGUACAGGAAAAACUUUCCCAUUUGUCCUUGAGCAUCUCAACGUGGCAUCUGGGCAGGGCCUGGGACAAAGAGGCAGCCUAUCGGUGCGGCCAGGCCAGCCCUCGUCCCAGCCCAGCUCGGGGCAUCUCGCCUUUCCACCCCCUCUCACUGUGUUCACACAGCCCCCUGGGCGAGGCAGAAUCCUCUUCUCCGAGUCCCCGAGCCCUUUCCCGGGCCCCGGCUGCCUUCUCUGAGAAGCGCGAGCUCCACCCUGUUGCUUUUUGAGUGCACUUGUAAUGUUUCACUUCGAUGUGCACAUUUGGACUUUGGCCAGAGAGUUAGAGGCUGAACUGUAUUUCAGACCUCUCAAAGAUUCAGUCCUUUACAAGUGAACGCCUGCUUCCUUACCUCUUUGCGUGGAAUUGUUAGACGCCAGUCCUGGGGACCAUAUGGAAUAAUCUCUUGGGAAUGUGCACCCCAAGCAUCAAGCAGGGAUGACUACUUUUCCAGGUUCCCACUUCCUGCUGUACCAGUUUCUGUCGUGUUCCUUGUUUGGAAUCGGCUUCAGGCUUGUGCUUUGGCUGCCUGUGACUGGGCUGUGCUAAUAUUGAACAUUCACUGGUGUAAUUAAGGCCAUCCUGUACCAUAAGAAACUCUGGCUUCCAUUCCCUUUGUGUUUCUGUUUAAAAACACCCUAUGCCAAACAAUAUGCCUUUGUUCGGAAAAAAAAAAAAAAAAGUAUGUGUAAUCGGGUAAUUGGGUGGCUGGACAGCUUGGUUAGAUGAGUGACUUUUAAGCCUUUUUUGACCACAGUCCACAAUAAGAAAUGCAUGUUACAACAUCCCCUGAUACCCACAUACAUAGACUGUCUCCCAAAGGUGAUUCAUUAAAUAGUGUUUACUCUUGCUAUAUAGUGUGAUACCUUCUUUUAAAGCUGUUUGUGACUCAUGAGCUGUUUUUAAGAUCUCCUCAUGGGUUGAGACCCGCAGUUUACAGAAAUGAUGGUGUAGAUAAAAUUCUGACAUUUUGUAAGAAGCAUUUUGCAAGAGAGGAUGGCUGUUGAAAUGCCAGAGUGUUUUCCUUCCCAACUGAACACAGGAUAAGGAAAGGAGUCAGUUUGCUAGUUCACAGUAAAUGUUCGAAAUUCUGCUUUAUAAACGUUGUGUAUCAGAUUUUUUUUUUUUUUUUGAGUGGGGUUAGUUUUUACUCUGGGUGAGUCCCAGCUUUCUAUGGCACUUGGGUAAGAAUAUUAUUUUCAAAGCUGUUGGGUGCUUGGAAAGUUAAUUUCCUUCGUCUCUAUGGUCAGUUCUGUUUUCUUGGAUGAAGGCUUUGCUGGACAGCUCUGUCUCACCUAUAAAUAAAAGUUUUUGUCAGAGUCAGUUGCUUUGAGCCACAGAGGAUAUGACAUUGGAUUUUAAAAUAAGUCAAGCCCCUUACGUAUGCAUUUAGGAGUGUCAGUGUGUCUUUCUUUGUAAGUGCAGGCUGAGUUUGGAAUCCAGUAGUGCAACUAACCUUUACGAGUCUUCUUUGAUCAUACUUCAUGCUUGGCACUGUGCUAGGCACUGUGGGUACAUUUUUUCAUUUGACUGGUGGCACAUAUUUGUCCCAAGCUCUAUUCCUGUGAGAGGUGAUGAGAAUUUAUUUAUUUUUUUCUGCAGGAAGCCCUUAUGGAUAAAAAUAGGAUUUUAGUCUGGAUUCCUUGAUUCAGCCUCCUUUGUGGCCAUUGCUCAACAUUUAAAACACAAUAGUAACCACACUGCUAUUUUUUCACGUAUAAAAUUCUUCUGGGAGCAGGCCUUCUGUUUGCAUUUUUUUUAUUUUUAUUUUUUAAAGACUUUAUUUUUAAGCAAUCUCUACACCCAACGUGGGCUAGCAGUCAUGAUCCCGAGAUCAAGGGUCACACGCUCCACCGACUGAGCCAGCCAGGCAUCCCUGAAAAUUAUUUUAAAUUACCAAAUCUUUCGGUUAAUAUCACAAGACUCUCAUUACAUUUUUCCCUUACUUACAAGUUUUAGAAACCUCAGUUGCCGCCAAACUUGUCUAUAUUUAUGUGAAAAAGUCCAUGUGAAGAAAGUUUAAAGACAGUAAUCACUGCAGGGCAUAUCAAAAAAGUUUUUUGAAUCAUAGAAUAAAAAGGAGGUUUUUAAAGUGCAGGUGCCAUUGACACAUGCAGCAUUAUAUUUGUUUCAAGUGUACAACCUAUUGUGAUUCAACAUUUGUAUACAUUGGGAAAUGAUCUCCACGAUAAGCCUGCUAACCCAUCUGUCAACCUACACAGUUAAUGCAAUAUUACUUAUUGUAUUUCCUGUGCUCUACGUUCGUCCCCAUGAUGUAUUUAUUUUAUAACUGGAAGUUUGUAUUUCCUGAUCUCCUUCACCAAUUUCAUACCCCCCUCCCC